CCCCCUGUGGACGGAAACACUUGUUACACGGGAGCCCUGAACCCCUACAAGCCACAGGUGGCCUCCCAUCCCCCCGAGCCAGGGCUGGGCAGUCAGAAGCUUCCGGAGCCCAGGCCUGGGAGCUGCUGGCUGCAUAGAAUAGGGCUCGACUCCCCACCUCCCACUGCAUCAGCCGAGUCCCCCAAAAACUGAGCCGGGGACAGGAACGUCCUGAGGGACGCCCUCGACACCCUCUGGAGCCAGCGCCCCUCGCAGGGCUGAACAGGAAGGGGGCUUGGGCUGGAUGGGGCGAGGAAUUGGGAGCAGCCACCCAGCGGGAUGUACAGGACCUUGGGGGCCCCCAACCCCACAGGGAGAUCACCCACCUUCAUUUCAGCCUCCAACUGAAGAAAGUCAAACGGAAACUGCCCUGCAAGAGAGAGACAGGCGGGGUCUCGCUGAGGUGGCGUCUGACAGCGCCGGGGUUCCCUCUGCAGCCCCCAGCACUGGACUCGGUGGUGGUUUUUCUAGACUGCCCUUCCAUCUGGUGACCUCAGUACAUUGACUUACUCAUCCUGAGAGUUCACCUGCAGAUCCACUUGCGGGGCUUACGUGGGAGACGUGCUGAGAAAAGAGCAACACGCUUCCUUCCUCCCAGCGUCCUGCCCUUCCCAUCUCUCCUCUGCCUCCUCCCAGGGUGGGCAGGCAGCUGUGUCUUGGCCCUGACUUGAGGGUCCCUCCACCCCCUCCAAGGGUGAAGCUGUGGCAGUUCCAGGUGGCUCCUUCCAGACCACGGAGGAGCCCUUUGCUGAAAUCCCUGCUUGUUGCUGCUUCUCUCCUUUUCAUCAGUCCCGGCAGACGUGCAGGAAUGUUGUUAGCCUUUGCAAAGAAUUAACUUUGGAUUUUUGGACUUUCUUGAUCCUUGCUAUUUUUAUAUAUAAAACAUACGCAAUUUCUCUUCA